UACAGAGGUCCCGAGCGUUGUUCGGAUUUACUGGGCGUAAAGGGCGCGUAGGCGGUCGUGACAAGUCACUUGUGAAAUCUCCGGGCUUAACUCGGAACGGUCAAGUGAUACUGUCGGACUAGAGUACAGAAGGGGCAACUGGAAUUCUCGGUGUAGCGGUGAAAUGCGCAGAUAUCAGGAGGAACACCGGUGGCGAAGGCGGGUCUCUGGGCAACAACUGACGCUGAGGCGCGAAAGCUAGGGGAGCAAACAGG
rnacentral:rRNA from 1 species